AUGACCAUUGAGUUGCACACUCUCGUCUGCAUAGUCGCACACACACGACUGCGGGAGGUGCACACACGUGUCGGCAUAGUUGCACACGCACGACCAUGGGAGGUGCACACACAUGUCGGCAUAGUUGCACACGCACGACCGUGGGGUGCACACUCUCGUUGGUAUAAUUGCUCAUGCACGUUUGCGGGAGUUGCACACGCUCGAUGGCAUAGUCGCACAUGCACGACUACGGUGAUGCACACCCUCAUCGGCACAGUAGCUCACGCACCACUGCGGAGUUGCACACUGCCUUUAGGAUAG
rnacentral:rRNA from 1 species